GAGCAAAGUCCUGAUUUUUAUUCGUACACCAUUUUCAAGAUGCAAACUUUUGACCCGUAUCCUUUCCGGGCCAUCAAAAAAACGCCACCGUUGGUCCUCUCUCUCCAUCUAUGUUGCGGCCAGUAUGUAUUCAGCUCAGGUAACAGUAACAUUUACUACCAAAACAUCAAGCAGUAGCAGCAUCUUGGGAUGAGUCAAAGUGACCGAGUUAUAAGAGCACGUGACAACUCACGUGAUGUGGUUGGUGAGGAGCAAAAUGUCACUCCUUGUGCAGAGUUUGACACGGCCUCCUUUCACAAUUAUACUCAUGUUGGUAUCCAUGAAUAGGUUGGUAUCCAUGAAUAGAUGAUUAAGGAUCAUGUGCGGGCAAACGCUUAUAGAGAUGCAAUCUUUCACCAUCAGAGUGUGAUAGAAGGCAAUUAAUGCCAUCAUGGUUGUCGUGGAUGUUGGUUGUGGCACAUUAAUUCUUUCAAUAUUUUGUGCUCAGGCUGGGGCAAAACGGGUAAGAUAUAUUUGAGCAAUU